AACAAAAAAAAACAACAAACAAAUAGAAUGCUAGUUUUGACGGUGGACAAAAUUUCCUGCCUAUUCUCCUUGUUUCCUCUUUUUUGUUUUUCCAGCCGAAGAGGCAACAAUUUUGACAAAACCCGAAGGAA
rnacentral:ribozyme from 1 species